rnacentral:snRNA from 1 species
GUGCUCCCUUUGGCAGCACAUAUACGAAAAUUGGAGCGAUACAGAGAUUAGCAUGGCCCUUGUGCAAGGAGGACACACAAAUUCAUGAAGCGUUCCAUAUUAAA